GUGCUUGCUCUGGCAGCACAUAUACUAAAAUUGGAACGAUACAGAGAUUAGAUUGGCCCCUGCGCAAGGAUGACACGUACAUUAGUGAAACGUUCCAUAUUUUU